rnacentral:rRNA from 1 species
UACGUAGGGGGCAAGCGUUGUCCGGAUUUAUUGGGCGGAAAGAGCGUGUAGGCGGCCAGGUAGGUCUGUUGUGAAAACUCCGGGCUUAACUCGGAAACUGCCGUUGAUACUAUCAGUCUUGAAUAUUGUGGAGGUAAGCGGAAUAUGUCAUGUAGCGGUGAAAUGCUUAGAUAUGACAUAGAACACCGAUAGCGAAGGCAGCUUACUGGGCUGUAACUGACGCUGAUGCACGAAAGUGUGGGGAUCAAACAGG